rnacentral:rRNA from 1 species
UUCUUAUAGUUUUAAUUAUAAGUACCGCCUGCUCCAUGUUAAAUUAAUAGCCGCAGAAAAUUUACUGUGCUAAGGUAGCAUAAUCAUUAGCCUUUUAAUUAAAGACUAGAAUGAAAGGCCUCACAUUUCGGUUACUUUUUUUAAACCUUUAUUAAAAAUUAUGCUAAGCAUUAAAACAUGCUUAUUAAAUAGUUAGACGACAAGACCCUAUUAAACUUUACUUUAGUUUAGCUGGGGCAGCUAUUUAAUUAUUAUUUUAAUUAAAACACACUAAUAAAUUAAUCCAAUAAAAUUGAAAAGAACAAGUUACUAUAGGGAUAACAGCGCUAUUUUAUUUUUAAGCUCUUAUUUGAAAUAAAGAUUACGACCUCGAUGUUGAAUUAGUUUCACUUAUACACGCAUCCGUAUAUAAAGUAAGUCUGUUCGACUUUUAAAAAACUACA